rnacentral:misc_RNA from 1 species
GUAAAAGUGCUACCGAUUAAAAUACGGCUGUUACAUAAAUGGGAAACAGUUUGUAAGGAAUCACAGAAGUAAUGGCAUCCAGAAAACUUCCGCCGGAGGCUCAGAAAAUUUUCGACAAAUAUUGUCACAACUUCGUCAUGAGACUGAAAAAAGAGGAUGCCAUUAAAAUGUUCACCUCGGACUUCAAACUGAGCGAGAAGCAGGCCGAACUGAUGUUCGACAUUUACGAUAUCGACAAAAAUGGCCAACUCAGCCAGUGGGAAUUUAAACAGUUCUACACAAAUCUCGGAGAAUUGUAAGUUCAACGGUCCACCACGUUAUACCAGAAACUGAGGCACGACAAAAAUGUUUGUAAAUACCAAACCAGUCACCUUUAGUUUCUUAUGUCAAAUAGGGUCAAACAAGUCGAACGAAGGUCAUUCAUCCCAUUGAAUAUAGAGGGAAAUGUCAAACAGAGAGUAAAAUAUUUAUUCCUGUAUUUUUAUAAUACUGCCGUCACUUGCAACGAAUAAAGGUUGAUGUUUUUUUUAUAAAUAGUUAACUUCAUUUGAGUAAGGAGGGGGUGUUUUACAGCACUCAUUUCAGUUUCAGUUUAUAUCAACUGGUACAGAUGGUAAUCGACGUUCAACAUUAACAUUUAUAUUGAUAAACAGAACAGCUUAUUGUGAAAGGGUAGAUUAACAAACUUGAAAAAUAGUUAAGCCUUAAAUGAUAGGGAGGGGUUGACUUGUAUAUACAUUAUAUGUGGAAUGAUAUGCUCUCUAGGCGCAUUAAAAGUCACAUACUAUCAAUAAAGUUUAAUGUGACACCAGGCUAAAACCACCAUAUUGCAGUCACCUGAGCUAUAAAAUGUAAGACCUAUUUACGAGUCAUUGCGCCCUAGGUAACGAUCGCACAGACAGUAUAAUGUGCAUUAAUUGUUGUAUUCUUGUCCAUCAAAUAGGAAAUGCGAUCCAUUUCUAGAUCGGUAUCUUCAACAUUUUGGCGUGUAAUGUAUUGAUAAUUAUUUUAUAUUUAUUUUUUUCAAAUAUUUUAACGCCUCUUUUUAACAGUGCGCCCGAACUUUUUGAGGCAUUUGAAAAACUCAAGUCUGGAAGCAAUGAAGAGGGGGAAUUCGAAAAAGCAUGGGACGUGCUAAAAACCGUAAAGAACGCCAGCGGAGAGGUUACCAAAGAUGCGGAUUUAGAAAGUUUAAUCAAAGCAGCAGUCGGAGAAGAGAAAAAAAUGGACUUUGGAAAAUUUAUGAAUUUGUUUAGUAGAAUCAAACAAAGCAGAUCAUGAUUCACAACUGAAGAAAAAAAAAUGUGCUUACAUAUAAAAAAAAAAAAGACUAUAUAUUAAAUUAUUUUUAUAAGAAACAGUUACAUGUUGUAAUGAUCAUUUGUUUCUGGACAAGAAACGCUUCAUAAAUUUCCUCAUACAUUCAAGGUUUAGUGAGACAGCUUCGCCAUUUUAUGCAAUCAGUAGUUUCCAUUUAUCGAGUUCCUCUCGCUAAAACAAGGGCGUGUGUUUUAUAUAGGCUCUUGGUUAUCCUUUUGUGAUUUUCAAAUGAAUUUUUUUUUGUUAUUUCUGAAAUAAAGUUUUUUAAAACCUGUUUU